CAGGUCCUAUGGAGGAGACAGCUGAGACUCUGCUCUCCUCGUUUGGAUUAAUUCUGAUAUAAUAACUGUUGGUUUAUUUAUCGGUGGAGCAGCAGAACAUUUUCCACAGACAGUUUUCCUGCCCGUUGGCUUGUUUUAACCAGUUUUCUACCUUCGGCUGAUUCUACCAGCAGACACUGAAAGGACUCUGAUAGUUCGGUCCCUCUCUAUCUCCCCACACAUCCACCAACCACUGGAACACAUCUCCAAAGUUCUGCCGGGCCAGCUCAGCUUCCCCUCAGAAGAAGUGCUGCCACCUGCCAGAUGAAGGAGCCUUUUGAGAGGCAGCUGGCAUCGUGAUUGGACUGUACUUUGGUCUGUUCCAAUCCAGCUUCAGCUCCAGAGACGGCAGGCGGGACGAGUCAACGGAGGCCGAGUGGACGAAGGCAUGCAGCUGAGUACAAUCCAGAAAACAACAGAGAAGGAGUGCAGUGGCCCAGGACCAGAACAAACAGAGUAGCAUCAUAUGUCUCUUAGAAAACAUCAUCGUAUAGCCUUUGGUAUGAAAAAACACCAUCAUAUACAUCGUAUAUUGUACAAAUAACAAGUCAAAGGAAAGAGACAUACAUUGUAGAAUUGUAGUAAUUGUGGGCUGACUGAUUUACUGAUUAUCAGUAUUUUUUACUGAUUUACGGUAAUAAAUACAUUUAAAAAUGGCGCUACUUUGGCUCUGAACCUUGAUCUACCUGUGGUCGCUCUGUCUUCUGGAGUGAUUUGAUUGGUUAUGCAUCACGAAUAAAACUCCUUUAACUUAACAUCUGUAAACAAAAAAACAUAUCAACAAAGUUUUCUGUUAGAGUUUGUGUUCUUCUCAGUUUAACUCCAAGAUUUUAAAUACUUUCAUUUACUGCAAAUGAAUAUCGACUCCAAAUGUCUCAGUAAUAAUCAUUAUCAGCCUUAAAAACCCACAAAACACCCCUCUAUACUCGACCACACUUAGUACAGUCUGGUUCCCCCUUCUAUAAAUCUGCUUGGAAUCUUCCACUUCCUGUUUGUCAAAGUGGCCUUCUACCUGGACAGGUUUUGUUGGAGCUCAUGCAACAAACAUUUUGGGUAACUGCACUUUAAUAUGGAU
ensembl:lncRNA